GACCCCCUCCCAGAAAGGGAAUUGUACAAGCCCAAGGCCCUCAACUAUAGAAGUAAAAAGUAAGUUUUUAGAUAUGUGGGACAAGCUGACCCAUCAUUUAGACGAAACAGACCAGAAAAGAAAACAAAAUGCAGAAACCAGACUAAAUUAUGGGCACUGCUCCAUGGGCCACCUGGCAGGAAAAAGAAAAAGUCCCUGACCCCCCGGAAGCCCUGACCACCAUGUACUUUUUGCUAACUCACUGUUAUGAUUAUAGCCAAAAUAGGUAAUGUACACGUAUGCCUCAUUUACUCCACCAAUCACAUCCCUGUAACCAUGCAUCUGCUUCUGUAAGCCUGCUUCUGCUCCCAAUACACUAUAAAAACCCGUCCCUGGUUCUGCUAGGCGCACCAGUCUUCCAAAUUGACUGGGACGCCCACAGAUACCUGUGUAUCCUGAUCAAUAAAAAUCCUCUUGCAGAUUGCAGCCGGUGGACUCGGACUGGUCAUUGGGGUUUGAGGAUCUCCCUCCUGAGGGAAGAUUCUCUCUGAGAGUCUUACAUAUGGGGGCUCGUCCGGGAUCGGAGAUCCUCUGCCUAGAGACCACCGACCACCCACCGGGAGGUAAGCUGGCCAGUGUUUGUCUUGUCCUGUCUUGUCUUGCUUUGUGACUUGUUCUGUAAAUGCUUAGUUACUUGGCUUGGGUCUAGACCGUUUGUAUUUGGGCGGGCCAGAGAAGGAGCUGACGAGCUCGGACUUCUCCCCCGCAGCCCUGGAAAACGUUCCAAGGGUGUUUAGAGCCCGGUUUUUCGGGGCUCAGCCUGUAUCGGAAGGAUACGUGGUUUUGGGUUGGAGGAGAGAGGAGAGAGCCGGAUCCACUGAAGGAUCCGGACCCUUGUCGCCUCUGUCUGAAUUUUUGGUUUCAGUUUGACACCGAAGCCGCGCGGUGCGUCUGUCUGUCUGACUGUUGGAAUUGUUUGUCUUCUUUGUGUCCUAAUUUUCUUUGAACAUCUGUGGAAAUUGGUUAUAGGAUGCUUUGUCUUGGUCUUGUUUGUCUGGGUUGUUUUCUGUGGUAUUGUCGAGUGUCUUUUUGACUUUUGUUUCGUUUUUGGACUUUGGAUAGAUGACUGUGUUUAAAAUCUUGGACUGACGACUGUGUUUAAAAUCAUGAAACUAUUUGCUUUGUUUGUCAAGGAGUUUUACUUGAUCCUCUUGGUGCUUAACUUGGAAAUAAUUUGCUUGAGAAAAAUUGUUUUCUGCUACGGAGUUUUAUCUUUCUCUCUUAGCCUCCUCCCCAAGGAGAGAUGCCCCUCCCUUUGCUCCCCUUGUCCAUUCUAGCUGCUGUUAACAGUUGUGUAUGAAGAACUCCAGGUUAGUGAGUGACCCUGUCUGAAGCAGGUAUUAACAAGAGCCUGAAAGCUUUACCUUAGAUCCUGAAGAAAAAUUCUCCCUGUUGCUUAAACAUUCACAGCUUCUAAGGAAGGGACAGCACAGAGUAGGAAAAUAUAGGGGCUGAGGGUGACAAGCAUGCAGGCCUGCUAGCAAGCUGCAGGCUGCGCGUGGGCAGUGGCGCAGCUCAGGCCAAGUCAGCGUAAGAGGAGUUUCAAGGUGAUGAGGCCGGCUGGGGUUGACGCUUUGACAACAAAAAGAUAGGUAUAAAGUUAGUGGUUGUUUUAUGAGACUUUUGGCCCUGAAAAAAUAAUAAUUCCAGUUGCUGCUUUCAGUGGCCAGACCUUCAACACUUGCUCACAGAAGGAGAGUGUUCAUUAAGAGAAGUUCUUUAAGGGAGCCUGCCUUAUCUGCUCGCCCUAUUCCAAGAAUUCCAAGAGAGGAAUUGAUCUCCAACAUUAAGUAACCUUCCCGGUUAGUCAUCAUUGACAUGGAGAGUGCCUUUGAUCCUAUCCCCACAGCAGCCAGUUCCUGCCCCUGUGGUCAAAAUGCCCCAGGUUGGGGGACAGAGAAGCCCCUGAGAUAGUUUCGGAGGGAAUCUACAACAAACUGUGAUGAACUUUGUUUUGCCAGUCAAAAUUUAGAAUUCGGGCUUUGGCUGUGGCCAAGGUCAGGAUUAAUGUUUUCUUUUCCAUGGGCCUUUAGCCCACUGAGACAGUUUGGUAAAGGGCUGCUACUGAGGUCCUGAAAGUCCCAGGUGAACUGGUUACAAUUCUUUUGUCAGCCACUUGGCAUCUAGCACCCAGGUCCUAGCCAUCUCUCCAUCCUUUUGUUAUUAGUUCUUAAGUCCAGAGAGAUAGUCGGGGUAACAGAUCAGCUCCCUCUCUGCUUGCCGUUCUGUUUCACAGACACAAAGCUUGUGCUUAUUUUUACAACAGCCUUUUUGUCCCAAAAAGUCCUCCUGGUUUAGCUGUGUGACUAAAUGCUAUUUGUCCUCUUCAGUGGACCUCUAUUCUCUAGAUUCUCUUGUUUUCUCACCAUCCCAUUUGAGAUGCUUGUUAGUAACUGUUACAGGUCUUCUUUACCACUGAGGAAAGACGGAAUCCUACUGGAGGCCAGAAAGAAUGUUCCAGACAUGGAUAGAAGACCCUCACUCCUGACUGUUGACUUGAAUACUCCUGAAGGCUAAAAGACCUACAGGUGAUACAGAAAGAAAUCUGCUCACAGCUGACAGCAGCCUAUGCCCCGGAGACCCCUGAGACAUCCCAUCAGUUCCAGGUUAGAGACUACAGCUACACUGAGCCCAGACACUCGAGCCUCGCUGGAAAGGACCGUACCUGGUGCUGCUGACCACCCUGACAGCCAUCAAGUCUCAGCCCUCACCAGCAGCGUACUAGCUGUUGGGGCUGAGAGCUGGGACCUAGAGGGACACUCAGAUCUUCAAAAAGCUCCCUAGACUUAAGUGAUUGAGAGGUUGCUAUAAUGCUCACUUGAGGAGUGUGUUUUAGAAACAAGAAUUUCAUGUUUGCCUGUUUGCCCUGGGUUCCCUCGGAAUAGGUGUAAGGAUAGGCUUGAUUUUUAUUGCAAAUGAUGUAAUAUUACAUAUGUUAGUACUCCUAACACUUCUUGGGACUGUACCUCAGGGAUCACAAUCUGUAUAAGUUUAGAAGUUCUAAAAGACCUUGGUGUAUAGGUUCAGAUAGUGUCCAGAUUAGAAUCCUGAUGCUAAAGACUUAAUAAGACACAAAAGAGAGUUCAGAAUUAUUUAAGGCUAUCUAGGUGCUACAAGGGCAGCACAAGGACAUCUUCAGUUGCCCUACAAUGCAAAAAAGAAUAAAAAAGACUUUUUAGCUGACCUCCAAGAACAGCUAACCUCCCUCUCAGAGGUAGUCCUUCAAAAUAGGAAAAGAUUAGACCUGAUAUUCCUUAAAGAAAGAGUCUGUGUGCUACACUAAAAGAAGAAUGUUUCUAUGCAGAUCAGACAGGAAUAAUAAGAGAUAUAGUCUUUCAGUCAUUCAAACUUUUGUGCUGAGACAACAGUAUCAGAUGGUUAAAAAAAAAAAAAACAAACAAACAAAAAAAAAAACAGAGGUACCUUAACCAAGUUGAGUGGAAGAUUCCACUCAAGGACAAAAAGAAAAUGGGGGAAUGAAAGACCCCCUCCCAGAAAGGGAAUUGUACAAGCCCAAGGCCCUCAACUAUAGAAGUAAAAAGUAAGUUUUUAGAUAUGUGGGACAAGCUGACCCAUCAUUUAGACGAAACAGACCAGAAAAGAAAACAAAAUGCAGAAACCAGACUAAAUUAUGGGCACUGCUCCAUGGGCCACCUGGCAGGAAAAAGAAAAAGUCCCUGACCCCCCGGAAGCCCUGACCACCAUGUACUUUUUGCUAACUCACUGUUAUGAUUAUAGCCAAAAUAGGUAACAUACACGUAUGCCUCAUUUACUCCACCAAUCACAUCCCUGUAACCAUGCAUCUGCUUCUGUAAGCCUGCUUCUGCUCCCAAUACACUAUAAAAACCCGUCCCUGGUUCUGCUAGGCGCACCAGUCUUCCAAAUUGACUGGGACGCCCACAGAUACCUGUGUAUCCUGAUCAAUAAAAAUCCUCUUGCAGAUUGCA